rnacentral:tRNA from 3 species
GGGGGCAUAGCUCAGCUGGGAGAGCAUCUGCCUUACAAGCAGAGGGUCAUAGGUUCGAGCCCUAUUGUCCCCACCA